CAAGAAAGGCAGGUGAAACAGACUCUCAGGCCAGAAGAGUGGCUAACAGGGAGCGGAGGUAUGCUGUGUGGGCUGUGUGCCCCAGCCGGCUCCCCUUUGCACCGAGGCCUCAGGCCCGGGCCCUGGACAGCGCUGCCCGUCUCCCGCUGAGUGAAGGAGUCCACAGCCGGACUCUAGACGCAGCUUCUGUGAAAUAGUCAUCAUUUCAAUUAACUAACAGUUGGAAGUUACAGGCCUUUUCUCUCCCUUUGAUCACUGUCAGGGAUCAAUCAGUGCAGAGCACAUCAGCGCCUCGGCGGAGCUGCAGAGCUCAAUUAACACGCAUGGCAUCUACUCCCUGCUUCCUGGAUGCAGCUCACAUCACCCAGGACCCUGAGCAAGCAACACUGUGGGCUUCACUAAGUCUUAAUGGACUCAGCCAUGCGCCUGGAAGCCCCUGCCAACUGCAUCAUACACACAUGUGUGGAAGUAAGAGGCAGUGGCAGCCUUCUGGAAAUAUCUAAACCAUGUGACCUUGAAGAGCAGCUAAAAGGAAGAGAGAAAAAAAAGCUCUUUAAUCAAACUGUAUCAGAGAUGCCCUUUGCCGUUGAGAAAGAAGCAGAGCUUAAUAAACCAGGAAUGCCCCAGCUAGGAAGUUGGAGAAUUUGAGUAAAUUAAGCCCGAGUGGUUGAUGAUCACCGAGGAGACGUGUGAAUUGGAUUGUCACAGAAGACUAUGGGGCCUGCUGUCACCCUGCUAUUGGCAGAAUGCUGAUGGGGAGGUUGACAACCCACUUUUAACACAGCCACACAUGCUCCCAGUGACUUGGCCCACAUAUAAACAGGGACUUGAGCACCAGUUUGUUAAUUCCGCGCGGCUACUUUAUCUGAGCUGCCCAGCUGGCAUUGCAGCUGCAGGAGUGUCGGUUUCCCAGGGCAUAAAUUUACCCCCCUCUAUAAUGAGCCGGGCAGCAGAAAGAUAGCAAUCCCAAAUAAAAGGCAGAAAGCAAAUCCAAAUGGGAAACAUUCUGCAGACAAAGGAGAAGAUUGGCAGUCUAGCAAAUGCUGAGGCUGGAGCUGGCUGCUAUUGCCCUUCUGUUGAGCACGUACUGUUGGGGCAGACUUCUUUUGUCUUUCUCAAUUUGAUUAGACUUUCCCAAAGUGUAGCACAUGGACAUACCCAGGAUGACUUUUGGUUAAAUGUGGUAGAUGGACAAGCUUUUAAAAAUGGUAACAGUUAUGAUUCUGUUCUCAUGAAUAUUAGAUACAAUCAAAAUGGCACAGCAAACCCAUGCUUUGACUACUAUUCUUUCUUAGAGUGAGGUAAAGUUGGCAAAAGUGAGUCGAAUCAAAGUAAAUUUAAAGAAAAAUACUGCAUACAUAAUAGCACCUGUGAUGAAUGGAUAUGUCAAAAGGCAUAAAGGGAUUUUCAAAUGGCUGAAGUUUAGGAAAAUUUGAGCUAGAAUAUUUUCCUUGGGUUGGGGGUUUCAUGCCAUUCAACCUAUGAAGCGGUCCUGCAUACGUGGUGAAAAGAGGUAGGAUGGAGCAAAUCAUUUUAAAGAGGAAAGGAAGACUGGAGGAUAGGAAUAAACCAUGGAAAUAAAAGAAGGAUCUUAAAAUUUGUCUCUUACCCGUUUUUAUUUUAUCUUUAUUUGUCAAAUGGGCUAAAGGAAGUUCCACAGUCAUAAGCCUGGGAAUAGAAAAAUGUAAGCGUCCACAGAUAUUUUUUUCCACACUGUGUUUCAGUGACACAUGACACACUGUUCAGUCCUGCCAUGGGGCCAGACCCAGGUCUGCGCGAUGGCCCUGCAAGCCUCUGCAAAUCUCUUUCUUAAUCAGAAAAUUUUAAUUUCAAAAAUUUGUGACACACAGGCGAAGGGAUCUCACAGCACGUCCCUGGAGUCAGGUUGCUCCCUCACCGCGUACAAAGAUACAAAGUAAGACCCUCAGACCAAGAACAUGCUCUUGAGGUGCUCACGUGUCAAUGAUCAGUUGUAAAACCAUGAAAGUUCUCUUUGGAUUACCAAAAAGUAAUUUUCAACUAUUACAUUUUUAAUUAAAUUUUUAUUAAGAUUUUAUUAUAAAUUAGAACAUCAAAAGCAUGUAUACUAUAUAUGUGUGUAUGGCAUGCAUACACACACAUACAUAUGUAUAUUUUUAAAAUAAUAAGACACACUCGUACCCUUCAGCCAGCUUAAGAUAUAGAAAAUGACUAGGAUCCCGAAGCUGCUGCUGUGCCCCCAGCAGCAACUCCAUUCCCCGCCUUUCUCAGGCACCUCCUUUACUGCGUGUAAUAUGGAUCAUCUCCUUGCUUUCUUUAUAAUCUUACUAUGUGUGCGUGUACCCCUAAGCAAUAUAGUCUCUAACAUUUCCUGUCCUUCCAUGCUGUAAUAAAG
ensembl:lncRNA